UGGUUGUUUCGGAUUUCGGUU
rnacentral:siRNA from 1 species